UGAGACAGGCGAUGUGCUUUGUUGAGCC
rnacentral:piRNA from 1 species